rnacentral:rRNA from 1 species
CCUACGGGGGGCAGCAGUGAGGAAUAUUGGACAAUGGGCGAGAGCCUGAACCAGCCAAGUCGCGUGAAGGAAGAAGGUACUUAGUAUUGUAAACCUCUUUUGUCGGGGAACAAAGGCGGAGACGCGACUCCGGAUGAGUGUACCCGAAGAAAAAGCAUCGGCAAACUCCGUGCCAGGAGCCGAGGUACGACGGAGGAUGCGAGCGUUAUCCGGAUUUGUUGGGUUUAAAGGGUGCGCAGGCGGGAUAUCAAUUUAGCGGUAAAAUGUCGGGGCUCAACCCCGGCCGGCAGUUGAAACUGGUUUUCUAGAGUUGGAGAGAAGUAUGCGGAAUUCGUGGUGUAGCGGUGAAAUGCGUAGAUAUCACGAAGAACGCCGAUUGCGAAGGCAGCAUACCGGCUCCAUACUGACGCUGAGGCACGAAAGCGUGGGGAUCGAACAGGAUUAGAUACCCCAGUAGUC